GAAGCAUUAGUCUAUUGAGGGCGCCCCGCUGUUAACGGGGAGGAGGGGAUAAGUUUCCCAUGCUUUU
rnacentral:tRNA from 1 species